CCUUGUACACACCGCCCGUCACACCACGAAAGUGGGCAACUACCCGAAGCCGGUGAUCCACCUCUGGAGGAAGCCGUCGAAGGUGGGGCGUCAUGAUUGGGGUG
rnacentral:rRNA from 1 species